UAUUAUUUGUAACAGCUCAAGCUCACCGCUAGCAGAUAUUGUCCGCUUUGACUCGCUAUGUAUCGCCAUCAUCCUCACGAUUCUAAAACGCAUCUUUUAGAUAGAGGUUUCCACACCCUUAUAAG